GGGGCGCGGGGCGCUGCGCCCACGCACGGCCCGCCGCGCCUUACCGCCCGCCUCGCGCCAGUCAGCAGUUGUGGCUCGUGUUGGCUGAACCAUCUUAGGGCCAUCUCCUUUUUCCAAUCGUAGACACCGAAAAGAACUAAAUCACAAUGGCGGAUGAUGAAAAAAAGCGUCUCGAGGAGGCGAAGAAGGCCAAACAGGCCGAGAUCGACCGCAAGCGCGCUGAGGUGCGCAAGCGCAUGGAGGAAGCCUCCAAAGCCAAGAAGGCCAAGAAGGGUUUCAUGACACCUGAGAGGAAGAAGAAGCUUAGGUUGCUCCUGCGUAAGAAAGCCGCCGAGGAAUUGAAGAAAGAACAGGAACGCAAAGCAGCGGAAAGGAGGCGUAUCAUUGAAGAGAGGUGCGGUAAACCCAAAAACGUUGACGAUGCAAACGAAGAAAUGCUCAAGAGAAUUAUCCAGGAGUAUCAUGACCGCGUAUAUGUGUGUGAGGGCCAGAAGUGGGAUUUGGAACACGAAGUCAGGAAAAGAGAUUUUGAGAUCGCCGACCUGAACUCUCAAGUCAAUGACCUCAGAGGAAAGUUCGUCAAACCUACAUUGAAGAAGGUGUCCAAAUACGAAAACAAAUUCGCCAAGCUCCAAAAGAAGGCUGCCGAAUUCAACUUCCGUAACCAACUCAAGGUUGUCAAGAAGAAGGAAUUCACCCUUGAAGAAGAAGACAAAGAGGCUAAGAAGGCAGAGAAAGCUGAUUGGGCUAUCGGGAAGAAGUGAUCCCUACCCCAGUUUCAUUCAUACAAUUCCUUUUACACCAAGAUGAUUUAAUUUUAAUUCUCGAUUAAAUUUUAAUAAAAUAUAUUUAUUAACUAUACAACGGUUCUUUAUUAUAUGAAUGAGAACAAACCAUAAUAAAGCCAACGAGAAAAAACCAGACUGGUCCAAGGGCAAGCCUGGCGAUCAGAAGGUAAAGGAGGAGGAAGUCGAAGCAUGAAGUGUGAAUCUUCCCCCCAUUGGCCUUUAUUUAUAAGAACUGUUGCCAUAGAAACCACGGUCCAUCCUAAAGCAUGUGGUUUCACAUCCCUUGGCAUAUUCCUUCAUAUAUAUGUAAAAAAUUGACCACACACCACGUCAAUAUCAUUUUAUAUUAUUUAUUUAUUAAAUAAAGUUUUUGUAAGUUAAUAAAUUAAUAAAAAUAA